CACGUAGUUAGCCGUGGCUUUCUGGUUAGGUACCGUCAAGGUACCAGCAGUUACUCUGGUACUUGUUCUUCCCUAACAACAGAGUUUUACGAUCCGAAAACCUUCAUCACUCACGCGGCGUUGCUCCGUCAGACUUUCGUCCAUUGCGGAAGAUUCCCUACUGCUGCCUCCCGUAGGAGUCUGGGCCGUGUCUCAGUCCCAGUGUGGCCGAUCACCCUCUCAGGUCGGCUACGCAUCGUGGCCUUGGUGAGCCGUUACCUCACCAACUAGCUAAUGCGCCGCGGGCCCAUCUAUAAGUGACAGCGUAAACCGUCUUUCAGCACAUCUACAUGAGUAGAUGUGAAUUAUCCGGUAUUAGCUCCGGUUUCCCGAAGUUAUCCCAGUCUUAUAGGCAAGUUGCCCACGUGUUACUCACCCGUCCGCCGCUAACAUUUGAGAGCAAGCUCUCAAAUGUUCGCUCGACUUGCAUGUAUUAGGCACGCCGCCAGCGUUCGU
rnacentral:rRNA from 1 species